UAACGCGUGGGUAACCUGCCUUGUACAGGGGGAUAACAGUUGGAAACGGCUGCUAAUACCGCAUAAGCGCACAGCAUCGCAUGAUGCAGUGUGAAAAACUCCGGUGGUAUAAGAUGGACCCGCGUUGGAUUAGCUAGUUGGUGAGGUAACGGCCCACCAAGGCGACGAUCCAUAGCCGACCUGAGAGGGUGACCGGCCACAUUGGGACUGAGACACGGCCCAAACUCCUACGGGAGGCAGCAGUGGGGAAUAUUGCACAAUGGGCGAAAGCCUGAUGCAGCGACGCCGCGUGAGCGAAGAAGUAUUUCGGUAUGUAAAGCUCUAUCAGCAGGGAAGAUAAUGACGGUACCUGACUAAGAAGCACCGGCUAAAUACGUGCCAGCAGCCGCGGUAAUACGUAUGGUGCAAGCGUUAUCCGGAUUUACUGGGUGUAAAGGGAGCGCAGGCGGUGCGGCAAGUCUGAUGUGAAAGCCCGGGGCUCAACCCCGGUACUGCAUUGGAAACUGUCGUACUAGAGUGUCGGAGGGGUAAGCGGAAUUCCUAGUGUAGCGGUGAAAUGCGUAGAUAUUAGGAGGAACACCAGUGGCGAAGGCGGCUUACUGGACGAUAACUGACGCUGAGGCUCGAAAGCGUGGGGAGCAAACAGGAUUAGAUACCCUGGUAGUCCACGCCGUNAACGAUGAAUACUAGGUGU
rnacentral:rRNA from 1 species